rnacentral:misc_RNA from 1 species
GAUGAAGAACGCAGCGAAAUGCGAUAAGUAAUGUGAAUUGCAGAAUUCAGUGAAUCAUCGAAUCUUUGAACGCACAUUGCGCCCGCCAGUAUUCUGGCGGGCAUGCCUGUUCGAGCGUCAUUUCAACCCUCAAGACCCCUUCGGGGGACUUGGUGUUGGGGACCGGCACAGGGGCCUGCCUGCUUGUCUUGCAGCGCCCUCGCCGCCCCCGAAAUGAAUUGGCGGCCUCGUCGCGGCCUCCCCUGCGUAGUAGCACAAACCUCGCAACGGGAACGUGACGGCGGCCACUGCCGUAAAACAACCCAAUUUUAUUAGAGUUGACCUCGAAUCAGGUAGGAAUACCCGCUGAGCUUAAGCAUAUCAAUAAGCGGAGGA